UGGGGAAUAUUGGACAAUGGGCGAAAGCCUGAUCCAGCCAUGCCGCGUGUGUGAAGAAGGUCUUCGGAUUGUAAAGCACUUUAUGUUGGGAGGAAGGGCAGUAAGCGAAUACCUUCCUGUUUUGACGUUACCGACAGAAUAAGCACCGGCUAACUCUGUGCCAGCAGCCGCGGUAAUACAGAGGGUGCAAGCGUUCAUCGGAAUUACUGGGCGUAAAGCGCGCGUAGUCGGUUCGUUAAGUUGGAUGUGAAAGCCCCGGGCUCAACCUGGGAACUGCAUCCAAAACUGGCGAGCUAGAGUAGGGCAGAGGGUGGUGGAAUUUCCUGUGUAGCGGUGAAAUGCGUAGAUAUAGGAAGAAACACCAGUGGCGAAGGCGACCACCUGGGCUCAUACUGACACUGAGGUGCGAAAGCGUGGGGAGCAAACAGG
rnacentral:rRNA from 1 species